UACGUAGGGUGCGAGCGUUGUCCGGAAUUAUUGGGCGUAAAGAGCUCGUAGGCGGUCUGUCGCGUCGGUUGUGAAAACUCGGGGCUUAACCCCGGGCCUGCAGUGGGUACGGGCAGACUAGAGUGCGGUAGGGGAGACUGGAAUUCCUGGUGUAGCGGUGAAAUGCGCAGAUAUCAGGAGGAACACCGGUGGCGAAGGCGGGUCUCUGGGCCGUAACUGACGCUGAGGAGCGAAAGCGUGGGGAGCGAACAGG
rnacentral:rRNA from 1 species